GACGAACGCUGGCGGCGUGCCUAAUACAUGCAAGUAGAACGCUGAAGGAGGAGCUUGCUUCUCUGGAUGAGUUGCGAACGGGUGAGUAACGCGUAGGUAACCUGCCUGGUAGCGGGGGAUAACUAUUGGAAACGAUAGCUAAUACCGCAUAAUAGUAGAUGUUGCAUGACAUUUGCUUAAAAGGUGCAAUUGCAUCACUACCAGAUGGACCUGCGUUGUAUUAGCUAGUUGGUGAGGUAACGGCUCACCAAGGCGACGAUACAUAGCCGACCUGAGAGGGUGAUCGGCCACACUGGGACUGAGACACGGCCCAGACUCCUACGGGAGGCAGCAGUAGGGAAUCUUCGGCAAUGGACGGAAGUCUGACCGAGCAACGCCGCGUGAGUGAAGAAGGGUUUCGGAUCGUAAAGCUCGGUUGUAAGAGAAGAACGAGUGUGAGAGUGGAAAGUUCACACUGUGACGGUAUCUUACCAGAAAGGGACGGCUAACUACGUG
rnacentral:rRNA from 1 species